rnacentral:lncRNA from 10 species
GCACCACUCUGGGCCUGCUGCCCACACUGACUGCGGGGUCCGGGAGAGCGGGAUGCUGGCCGGCCGCGCCUGGCUUCUUGGAAAGAGCAGGAAGGAGCGCGAGAAUGCAGUUCCGCGGCAGGUGCUCAUCCCAGCAGCUUCGGGCUCUCGGUUGUGGUUUUUACACCUAUGACAAAUGACAUGGCCAAACACACCAUAAUGUCUGAAGGUACAGGUAGCCCUAAGCGCCUGCUCGUCACGGAAGAGACUGUCUUGAGAGCACAGAAACCUCUGUAGAGGAGCAGGAUGCAACCGACAGGCUGUGGCCGGACAGCUGCUGCCCAGCACAUGGAGCCUGCACGCGCACGGUUUGGCCAAAGAAGCCCCCAUACUCCCGGUGAAAAAGAUGGAGUCUUGCUCUGUUGCCCAGGCUGGAGUACAAUGAUGUGUUCUCAGCUCACUGCAACCUCCCUCUCCCAGGUUCAAGUGAUCUCCUGCCUCAGCCUCUGGAGUAGCUGGGAUUACAGAUUUCCAGAAGCUGUUCUGUCAAUAACAAAGUCUCAAAGAAAACCACAAAACCACCAACACUAAGAUCAUUCUUGAGUCCAAUUUGAAAAACUAGGGUCAAGUUCUGCAGAGGCAUUGAAAGGACAAGAAACCACCCUGAUACCCAUCGUGUGAGGGAAAAUGCUCUAUUCACCAUUCCUCAGCUUCUGCUUCUGGUUUCAGAGUUCUCUCUAUAUUGGAGGGUGUUUUAAAGCUAGAGUGGUCUUUAUCCACUUUUAUUAACACAUCUGAAUGUGAAGGUCAAGAGAGGAAAGUGAUAUGUCCUAAGUCAGAGUAGAGUCAACAAGAAAAUAAGACAAACAGCGACUGAGCCCCUGGUGUAUACUGGGCAUUGGCCAGCUACUGGGGAUAUGGAGAUGAAGAAAACAUAACCCUUCUUCAAGGAGCCCAACCUACCAAGGUAGACAGACAUAUAGACAAAUAGAUACUUGCAUAGAAAAAAAGAGGAAAAGGGGAUCAGUGUGACCUGUGUAACUAAGUACCCUAUAAACCCUCCUGCAACAGAUCAUAUUGCCCUUUAUAGUGGGGAUGGUAAUCCCAUCUGAAUUCCACAGGUACUUUGCAGUCAUACCACACCCAUGUGUCUGUCGGUCCUGACUGUACCAUUUAUAAACAGCUUCACUUUCAGCAGUUCUCAGCCCUCUUAAGCUAGGGUCAUUGUCAGUAGGGAUACUGCUUCAUAAGCACCAGCAGAACACCAAAGGAGACCAUAUGGGUGAAAGCAACCAGCACUG